rnacentral:lncRNA from 1 species
UAUAGUAAACAAUAUUAUUACCUUGUUCAAGCUGCUCGAUUUUAUCAAGAUCUUCCUCAAUACUGAUGGGUUGUUUUAAUAUUUCAUUUCGAAGCCAAUAUCGCUUGCCAUAUCUUCGCCUUUAUGACUAACAAUAGGACAAAAAUUAAUUAUUCUCUUACGCGUAUUCCAUUCAUUAUCAAUCCAAUGGGCAGUGAUACACAU